GCUGGUCACUUUGGGAGGGCUGGAGUCACAGAGCAGGGCCGGCAGAUAGCUGUGCAGAAGGAUAACGGUACA
rnacentral:SRP_RNA from 12 species